UAUUUUUAUGGCUUUGUUUGAAGAUCCUUUGGUGACUUUCAGUGCCACUGGAAGGAUGCUGUGCUGACAUCAGUAUCGGGGUGGCACCAGCAAGAGGAGUGACCCAGGAUGUGCCUUGCCUGUUUGGGCUAGAUCCAGCCCUGUUUCUGAGGUCCUGAAAUCUGCUGAACCCACACCGAAGAACAUAAGCAGAGCCUUACUGGAUCAGAGCAGAGUUCCAUUGGAUUCAGCACCCUUUUUCUCAUGAUGGACAACUAGACGUCUCUCAGAACCCCAUUUCGUUACAGCAGUUGUCCAGUUUAUCUUAUGGAGACUUUGUCACUGAAGUAUUGUCACUAAGUCAAACUGGCAUGUGGCUUCCUGGCAAACAUGUUUAGUACCAAAUAGUUCUGUUGGUAAGAUGCUGCGUGCACCAACCUGUAUCCAAAUUGCAGAGCUGAACAGUGCCUUCCCUUAUUGGCCAGUGUAGGAUGAUGAAGUCUGCACUAUGGCAAAGAAUGGGGCUUUGAGUCAGUGGUAGAACAUCUGUUUCAUAUGCAGAAGGUUCCAAGUUUGAUACAAGGAGGGCUGAGAGAAAAUUCCUCUCUGAAACCCUGGACAGUUGCUACCCAUCUAAGUAGAUGAUACUGAGCUAGAUGGACCAAUGGCCUGACUUAGUAUAAGGCAGCUAACUAUGUUCCCACGACUCAGUAUAAGACAGCUUCCUAAAAACUACAUGAUGUGAGUUGGCCACCAUAUGGUUGCCUCAUAGAGAUACCAAGCCAUUGCUGGGCUCAUGGCAACAUCGUCUUGGAUUUGCUCCAUUGUUUAGCUAAUAUUUGCUGCAUCAGUUUGUGGUAUGAGUUCACCUUUAGGAACAUGUGAGAUUUUAAUAAAUACAUAUAUUUAUUAAAUUACCUAUAAAGCCCUCAAUGGCUUGGGUCCAGGGUACUUAAGAGAGUGCCUCCUCUGUCAUGAACCCUAUUGCUUAUUAAGAUUAUCUGGAGAGGUCUGGUGGUUAUGGUUGCCGCCGGCUAGUUUGGUGGCAUCUCAGGACCGGGCCUUCUCUGCGGCUGCCUUAGAGCUUUGGAAGGUGCUCCCUGUUAAAAUAAGAACAUCUUCUCUGUCUGCUUUUAGGAAGACCCUCAAGACACCUGUUUUCUCAGGCUUGUAACUGAAAUUAAUUUUAAACUGAUUAAUUGUUUUUAUCCCAUGAGAUUGUUUUCUUUUGUUUUGUGAAGUUGUUUUAACUGUUUUUACUCUGUUUUAUAUUAGUUUGUGUUUUAAAUUGGGUACACCACCCAGAGAUGCACAUAUCAGGCAGUAUAUAAAUGUGAUAGAUGGAUGGAUAGAUAGAUAGAUAGAUAGAUAGAUAGAUAGAUAAACAUUAUGAAAUAAUAUGAGGCAGUAUAUAAAUGUGAUAGAUGGAUGGAUAGAUAGAUAGAUAAUAAACAUUAUGAAAUAAUAUUUUCUAUAAUGAUAAAUAUGGACGUGAUCUUGUCAAAAUGGAGGGUUUUAGGGUCUUAUUGAUAUCAUUGAAUGAAAAGAAUGUAAACGUCUAACCAUUGCAGUCAAUGGGACUAAAAAGCCUGACCGCCAGCAGCCUAUGUGAGGCAGCGGCGGUGGCCCUGCUGACCCCGCCCCCGCAUCUGACA